CAGGAAUUAACAUACUAAAUGUGUCUUAUUUACAAUGAGAAAAUAAUUAAAUUUUAAUUAUUCUUGA
rnacentral:tRNA from 1 species